rnacentral:rRNA from 1 species
CAGCUAGUUGGUGAGGUAACGGCUCACCAAGGCUACGACGGGUAGGGGACCUGAGAGGGUGACCCCCCACAAUGGAACUGAAACACGGUCCAUACACCUACGGGUGGCAGCAGUAGGGAAUAUUGCACAAUGGGCGAAAGCCUGAUGCAGCAACGCCGCGUGUGCGAUGAAGGCCUUCGGGUCGUAAAGCACUUUUCUGAGAGAUGAGAAAGGACAGUAUCUCAGGAAUAAGUCUCGGCUAACUACGUGCCAGCAGCCGCGGUAAAACGUAGGAGGCGAGCGUUAUCCGGAUUCACUGGGCGUAAAGCGCGCGCAGGUGGUUCGGUAAGUUGGGCGUGAAAUCUACCCGGCUCAACUGGGAGAGGUCGUCCAAGACUACCGAACUUGAGAGCAGAAGAGGAAGAUGGAAUUCCCGGUGUAGUGGUGAAAUGCGUAGAUAUCGGGAGGAACACCAGUGGCGAAGGCGAUCUUCUGGUCUGUUUCUGACACUCAGACGCGACAGCUAGGGUAGUAAACGGGAUUAGAGACCCCGGUAAUCCUAGCCGUAAACGAUGUGAACUUGGCGUUGGUGGGUUAAACUCCAUCAGUGCCGAAGCAAACGCGAUAAG